rnacentral:sRNA from 1 species
GUGCCGGCGCCGCACCCGAGGCUCUCGCCAGCCCAGCGCCCCGGUGCUGAGUCGGAAAAUAAGUUUGUUGCGCUGCGAGGCAGCCACAAAACAAGGAACCUAGAGCCCGGAAUGCUUCGGGAAGCCUUAAAAUCAGCUCCUCCGGCUGGUUCGGGCCACUGCCCCUCUCCGUGCGCCCUGGCCUCUGGCGCCGGCUUCCUGGCGGGGGUUUUCUUCUGAUAGCCCAGCUACAGCCCGCAGCAGAGGGACGCGAACCUGGGGUUUGAAGGGACUUGGGACUAAAGGAACAGGAGCCCGUAGCCGUGAUGGAAGGAGCCGUGUGGAGACGGAGGCUGAUUUUUGUAGCGCCCGCUGGGUGCCAGGCUGGGUGCUAAGCGCUGAGGCUCCGGCGGCGAGCGACAGACCAGGCGCCCGCUCUUAGGGAAGGUACCUGGCUUCCCCAUCUCUGCCGGGGGAGCUUGUUGGGUGGCAUUCGUUUCCAGCAACUUCUGGGGCAUUUCCAGUUUCUUUCGAGAGGCAAGACAACCGUCUCGUCCCCUCCCCGGACCC